GUACCCUAGAACUUAAAGUAUAAUAAAAAUAUAUAUAUAUUAAAAAUUAGGCCCUAUGGUGUUAAAAAUAUGAAUGUACAACUAUCAAUUAGGGUCUAUCAGGGAAACAAAAUCAGUAUGGGUAUCCUGGGCUGAAAAUUUUAUUUUAGGCAUUAGAUACCAUGCAGUUAUGGUAAAGACCUCUCCGGAAAGCUAAUGCUUCUGUGUCUGGUGGUAGGCCUUAAGUCACUGUGAGUCAGUUGGGCUGGCAGUCAGGAAGGAAAGCUGGGUAUGAAGCGGGAGAGAGCGAAGACAAGCCGGACUCAUGAAGACAAGCUGGACUCAUGAAGACUCAUGAAGACAAACCAAAAUUUGCAUCUAGCUCUCACCACCUCCAAACUCCAUAGUGUGGGUGACCUAAAAACAAAGCUGGCACCCUUCCUCAUGGCAUUGCAUGUGCAUCUGACCCAGGACUCAGAUGAGCUGAAGGAAGAGAUCUCAUGGGAGCUGGAGGACUGUGGGCUAGCUACUGCCCACACCAACAGAGUGAGCCAGGAGAUGAGGCUGGGAGCUGCAGCGGCACCUGUUGCCUGCUCCUUCUGAGCUUAGUGACUGUGCAUCACUUCCACUUUCCAAAUCUCGUGAAAAUAUCUCCUGUGGUCAUAUCUAAUGUGUAACUCUAUGAGUAAGGGAAUUCUAAGAAAUUCUGUAGUUCCGGGUUAGCUAGUUAUAUAGUUCAGAACCUCUCCACUGGAGUAGACCUCAGUAGUGAUACCCCUUUGCCUAGUUUAUGCACAGAAGUCACGCUUCUCAGCACCCAUUGCAACUGAGUGGCAACACAUGGCUACUUCUCACCAAUGGAUUGUGAGGCCAGCUGACAAUCUGAGGCUUCAAAAGCCCCUAUACAGCUCUCAGUUCUUUUCCUGCCACAUCAAUCAUGGAGGCCAAGACGGAACCACCCUAAAUCCCUGAGAUUUAAAUCUCUGAAUCUUUGAAGGGAACUACCCUGGAGAACCUUGAGACCCACAGCAGAAUUGUGAGAAGUCAUCAGCCUGCAACCCAGAAGAGGACCUUCACCAGGAACCGUAUCAGCUGACACCGUGAUCUUGGACUUCUCAGCCUCCAGAACUAUGAAGAUAGGAACACUACUCACCACAUACAAUGGAUGUGAAGUUAAGUAAGUUACUGCAGUCAUAGAAGAGGUACCACCUGCAAUGAUGACUUCACCUAUCCACAUCAUCAGUUCUCCUGUCUAUUGGUUCAUUCCCCCUAGCAUACAUAUGUUGUACUCGCCCCUUUAAAAAGAAUCUGCGAUCCUACAUCCUCCUUCAGUUGUGACCUUAUUCUCUUUCUCUCAUUUACGUCAAAACUCCUGGAAAACAGAGAGUAGAAGGAUGAUUACCAGA
rnacentral:lncRNA from 1 species